UCACAGAUAAAAUAUUGUGUGGUCAUAAACCCUGGAGGCAACUCUAUGUUUGACUUAGGUACUUUGCAGAAUAUGAAAAAAAAGAAAUGUGUGUUUCCCUCUGCAAACUAAUCUUGCAGUCAAUGCUCCAGCUCUUUUUGUUUCUGAUAAAUAUCUUUCACUAAACUAAAUAUAACAAUGUUUUUCAAGAACAUUACAGAAAAUCCUAAGGCAGCAUGAAUGAGCUGCUAUAGGGGCACAGGAUGCAUUGGGCCACUCUCGGGAAGUUUUGCAUGUAACAGUUAUAUUGGGGGCAAUUGAGCUGGUUCUCAGGGCCUUUUCUGCUUUAACUGGCUUUCUCAGAAUGUGCCAGAAGGCCCUCCUAACAGUAGCCCCAUAAGAGCAAACACAAGCCCGGGCAAACCUACUGCUCCAACUGCUCCCUGACUCCUUCCAUCCUUGAUGGCAGAACUUCUCCUCCAUUCAAGGAAGAAAUCCAGUUCUGGAGGCAAGGCUUGUAUUUAAAGAGGCUCUGGCUCCGGGCAGGUGUGAGUCCUUCAUCCCUUUCAUCCUUUAUCACAGAAACAGCCCUCCAGAAGUUCUCAGAGGUGAAAAUAACCUCAGCUGAGGAACUUCACUUUGGAGAGACUGGAUGUGGCCAGUUUAAGACAGAAAAUAUUAUGAGAUACCGCAAUCUAUAAACCCAUAACUGCAUGGGAUAACUGCACGGGAUAAAACGUAGCACAGCUUUAAUUUAUAAAUAUUUUCUUCAAAUAUCAAGCCAAGCGCAAACAGAGACUUAUCAUGAGAAGGGAAAUUUAAUAUUAUUACCUAAUCCUUGAAAGUGAAAAAAACAGGCAACAAUGUUAUGGUUGCAACCCCAGUUGUAAGGUUAGGACUGAUUUAGAGGAAAAAAGUCUAUUUUUAGAUUCUGUUUCACAGGAUAUCCAAUAAUGUGGCAAACAUUGGGAUCAGGUUUGAUGACAAUAAUGCUGUCCAUGAGAAGCAGCAGGUGGUGUGAUGCUAAACAUGUUUUGGGUGUGUCUAAUUAUUAAAAUAUUCUGGAACAGCCAAGAGAGGUCAGUAGAGGCACUGACCAUGUACUAUUUCACAGCAACUGUGUAGACCUUGCGUUUGCUGUUCUGUGUCCGUGUAAAGUUUUCUGCCUGAUUUUUCUUUUAAAGGUCCUCCUCUUCCUCCCAGCUUUGCCCAUACCACAGUGCUUCCUUCAAGUGUGGGGGAGGAGGGAAAUGGGAGCCCCUCCAUCCUUUCAUCUUCUUUUCUUUCGGCUUCAUCCUGAUCUUCACCCGUGAAAUUUUUCCUCAGGAGUUUGCCUUUCUUCAUCCUUUUGAAAAUCACACUCCUUGUGACACAGUCAAAGGAACAUGACCCCCUGAAAACCAGCCGCUUGGGAAUGACCUUCAACUGUGGGUGGUGAUCAUCACAGGGUCCAAAAUUGCAGAUUCUUCUUCAUCUCUACAGGGGAACACAGCAUGAAAUGGACUACCACCACGGGAUGAUUUUAAGUUAACCAUAAAUGAAGAGCACACUAACAACCACCACAGAUUUGCUCUAAUGUCACACAGAGAAGAUUCUAGAACUUCUCUCCAAACCAUUGAUGGGGCCUAUGAGGUUUAGAUACAGUCUGUUAAAACACACAGAAGGUCUAGAGCUGCACGUCCAAUACAGUAGUCACUCCACAUGUGGCUGUUGAACACCAGAAAUGUGGCCAGCAUGACUGAGGCACUGAGUGUUAUACUUUAUUUAAUCUCAAUUAAUUUAAAUUUAAAUUUUAAAAUGGAAGCAGUGUAAAAUAUUUUUCUGUUAAAUACAGCUUUACUGUUUUGAUAGGACUACACUUGAUUUCAGCUGUGACAUCAUGUGAGACAUUAGUGUUGCAGAGCACAUGUCAGCACAGAGAUCCUCUAAAGAGUUUUACAAGCCUGCCUACACAAACGGACACAUCUCUGAAGAUAUACCUGUCUCCCCAAGCCGUGGACAUUUACAAUGAAACCUUUCAACUCUGAGCCUUUUGCAACCAUGAUUUCAAAACAGAAGACACAGGUUCGGGAAUAGACCAUAAAUACUCCAAACAGGACUUCCACAGGGCUUCUCUGCUACCAGGAGAUGGCCUACGGCUGGUGAGGGAGUCUGCGUGGGACAUGAUUAAUAAGAGACCUUUGGGAGACAGAAAUGUUCUGUAAACAGCAAUGUAGGUAGAUCUGAAGAUCAAUAGCUUUGGGGAAACUGAAAGUCUAAAAUUUACUCAGGUCUACUUUUUGUUUAUUUCUUUAAUGCACAGAUAUUCCGAGAUUUCACUUUACCAGCAUCUUCAUUUUAAAUAACAUCCAUACACAACCUGAACUGCAGAAGUUUAGAAACUAAAUGCCUAUCUGUCCCUCUAUUUAAUUAACAAACACAUUCACAUCUAACCAUCGCGGAUCUUGAGUGACUUUCCUUUCUUCCAUACGUGAACAUAAUAAAGUGCCCCUCCGCUCCCAUGCCAGCCGUAGAGUCCUUUUGAAAUUUCCUUUUAGAGAAUUUAUAGAUUUUUGUAGCUUUCUCUGGUAUACAACUAUCCCAUAAUAAAAGCAGUUAAAAAGUUAAGCACAAUAUGUUGAAAGAUACAGACGUACCUAACAAGAAGAAACUCAGUAACAGUCCACAUCCCCAGGCAGGAAGAAAGCAAACCAGCAACUGCUGAUUGAUCUCAGUUUAAAGCUAAAUCACAUAUUCUUCCCUCUUUACACUUAAGUGUCAUAACUUAGCGAAGCUUAAAAAAUUAGAAAUCAAGUUUGGGAGAUGGAUAUUGGUGACGGUUCCACAAAAUGUGAAUGUACUUAAUGUCACUGAAUUGUACACUUAAAAAUGAUUUAAGUAGUAAAUUUUAUGUUAUGUUUUACCCCAAUAACAAAUUUUUUAAAUUAGAAAUUAUAAAAUAUUUAAAGAAUAGUUGAAUAAUAGGUGGAAUGAAAUUGUAAAAAAGUAACCUUUUAUUGUGCCUUUUAGGCAAACAGAAAGACUUUCAGAGUUGACCAGCUGCAAACCCAGGGAGAAUUUACAAGUACCAUGCAUAGUUCUAUUUCUCAAACACUCUGUGGACUGAGGUCCACUCAUGCUUUUGCUUCCUAAACCAAAAAAAAGAGCAGGAUAUCCGAUGAUUAAAAAGACAAGCGUUUCCAAAUUUAAAAUAUGGCUUUACUCUGCUUCUGGAAAGGACCCUCUCUGCUGGUUUUUCCUGUCUGGACAUCUCCAGUCAUAGUCAUCUAGUCACCCAAGUCCACAUGGCAUUAUUUGAGAUUUUAAAAAAUACAAUUUUAAUUUGUGUUAAGUCAUACUUAUUUAUGUCGAUAUACUUUUUUCUACUGGCACAUCGUGUACAUCAGUUCACUGUGGGAAAGUCCUACCAAAGCUAUAUACAGGUUUUGUUAGACGUUUAGCAUCUAUUUCCCAAAAUCCACUAGUAAAGGACUCCAAAAAGGUAAUAAGGUCAUCCAGUUCAUUUUAUUAUAAUGUCCUGUCACCCGGGAAAUGUGUGCCUUACGUGCCCCAGAAAUAUCUGACUAUAACCAAAUAGAAAAACAAGCCAUUAGAAUUUCUCCCUGACAAUGGCCUUCGUUUACAACCAGCCAGUAUACGAUGAAAGUUUCUGCUCCUUUUCCACAUAAGUUAUUUUUCCAGCUGAAAAUUGUUCCCAGCUGUUCUGACCCAGAUGUGUUGGCAGCCCAUGCUGUGAGGGCCAUUUUACAGGUGAUGAAGCCCUCAGACCAUAAAGUUUACACGACUUGUAUACAGCUGGUAUCCAAUACAACUUUGGACUUCUAACACUGCCCCCUCCAAAAAAAGAAAAAAUCAGUGAUUUCCUGACACUUCACUUGGAGCAUAGUUAAAGGGAAUUUCAGGGCUGUAGGCCCUAACUUAUGUAGGCCCUGAGUUAACGAAGCAAGAGUAAGAUGAAUUACCCAGUUUUCCCCUUCCCUUCAGGAAUUCAGCCUACUUCAACUGAAAAUAGUUCUGGAUCGGUAAGAAAAGUGAUCAGAAACUGUCCCAGGGGGUUGGCUUCUCAGGUAAGUCAUGAUAUCUGAAUGAGCCCAUUGAGUUGUCAUUCAUCUUUUAGCUUUACAUUAUCCCUUUCUAGACUGUACCAACUUCACUCUUCCCUUCACAUUUAAACGAAAGGUCGUCUUCAUUACACAGAAGCGGUUUGUAACUUGGUGCAAUAUAUUUCCUCAGGGAGUCAUAGGAUAACCAAAGCAAUGGGUGAUAAUUAAGGUGACUGUACUCCAGGUUUCUCCAGGACAGUCCCAGGCAGUUUAACAUAUAUCUAGUGCUUCAUUUUUUAACAAAACAAAACAUUAUUCAUAAUGGCGGAAUUAAACACAUUGCGAUGGAUUUAGUAGACCUCCACUUGGCAUUCCCAGUCUCUGCCAGUCUUGAAGAGUAGUAAUGGGACACGUGUGUAGUAAACUGAGUUCUCAUUUUCCUCUGGUAAAAUCUGAAGGAUGACCAACAAUACCCUUCUCUCUUUUCCGAACCAUUCUCUGAUAAGGCACAAUUAACAUCGCCUUUGGACAGCAUAAUAAAGCAUAGUGUGCCCAGCCACCAGUUCCUAGGGACGCAGUGGUGGUGAGAGAUCUUGCAGCCUGCCACCUCUCACUAGUCCCUGCUGGGGCCUGGGAGGUCCGUGAAGCUGCCUGGCCAUACAUCAGCAGCGUCAGUGGGAAAUGUGAGAAAGUGUGGGGUAGGUGUAGGUGAAACAUGUGCAGGAACGGGGCUGAGCAGCCCCGUGAUAGAGUGUACAGAAUGGAGUUUGAAUACCCCUGCUUCCAGUGGCUUUGUCAUUUACAGUGAAGUGCAUCUACAACUAUUCUUUAAUGCGUUAUUGGGUAACAACAUAUCUUUCUUUUGCAAUAAACUCUUUUGGCAGAAAUUAGCUUGAAAAGAUCAAAGUACAUUUUUAGGGAAAAAUUAAAAUAUUAAAGUCGUAGAUGAAUGUACACCUUACAAAAAAAUAUUUAUUUACAUCUAGCUUCUACUAUGGGGAUGUCAUAAUACCAUAGGCCACAUGAAAACCAGAAAACAGAAAUUUGCUGAAGAAGCAUCAGCAUUUACCUCAAAACUUAGUUGUUAUUUUAACUAGAUGGUGCUCAGAGAUGAUGACUCAACAAAGGCAGCUGCACAAGGUGCACUGUCAUAUCGCUCUGUGAUGCUUAAUUUUUCAUUAGAUGUAACGACCGUUCGUCUAAACUAAUUUCACUCAUUUUCAAUUCCAACGUUCUUGUGAAUAACUGAAAAACGAAGCGUUAGCUGCUAAUGAGUCUCCUUUAGCAGAAGCAGAAUUAUGUAAACAGUGAUACAACACCAGCUUUAUAUCAGGGUUAUCAGAUGCUUCAAAUAAGAAAUCUGUGAAUUUUAACAAUGGUUUAUUUUUGUAAAAACUUGAUUCAUGGAAUAAAAUUAAACCUUUGCAAAGUUCAUUCUGUCAAAGGUGAAAAAUCUAACAUUAUUCUGAUUGCUAUUAUAAACCUAGUUUAAAAGUUUGUGAUCGGAGAGAAAAUUUGUUUUUGAGGUGAUACUUUUUGGUGGCCAGAAUCCCGGUAGAAACAAUAGUCUUACUAAAUUAAGAACCGAUGGAGGAGAAAUAGAUUUGGUCUGGGUGGUGGAAAGUAUGUAAUUAGUACUUUCAUCCAAAUAAGAUAUCUGGUCUGCCAAUGGAAAUGGAAGAUGAGUUGUCACAUUUUACACACACACAUACACACACACACACAUAAAGUAAGGGGAUCACAAAAUUCUCCUUCCUGGCUACCAAUUGACUUAGAAUAUCUAAGCCUUUAUGAUAAACUACUUUGUUAAAUUCAACCUAAGUGUCCUAUGCUACUCCAAAUUUUGGUUGCGUUUUGUUCAAAAUCAUCUGGAAGUCUUCAAAGUAUUGAGUGAAUGGAGCUUUUGGGUUUUUUGAAACUCAGCUUUGGAGCUUGAAGUUUCAGAAAAUUGCAAUUACUGAAAACCAAGCUGACAAACAGGCAGGACCAGCUACAUAAUUUUCAGGGCCCAGAGGAAAGUGAAAAUGCAGAGCCUCUUAUUGAAAAAUUAAGAAUUUCAAGAUGGCAACAGCAGGGCAGUAACUGAAGUGUGGAGCCCUUCUAAGCCCUGGGUUCUGUGUGACUGCAGAGUCACAAGCCCAUGAAGCCAGCUCUGCAAACAGGAAGACAUUGAAAUUUACCCUGCAGGAUUGGGGGUGGGAGGCAGGGUGUACAAUGAGCACAUUAAUGAAAUAUAAGAUUUCAUUUUGAAAUUCUAUAAUUGUGCCCUGGAUGAUCUCAAUGUGUGAGAAGAAUAUGUUGACGGAGCUCCUAUUUUUAUUUGGAUAAAUUUAGAUUCUGCCCCUGAAUAGAAUGUAAUUGAGAAGGUCUACAAUUUUGAAUCACCCAAAUUUGGUGAACCAUUCAAAAGAAUCAUAAAUAGAGGCUACUUAGUUGACAAGUUGUAUCAUAAAAAUAUUUGUCAAAGAAACGUACUCAGAAUAGAGGCCAAAAUUACCUGAGAAAAUAUUUGGACUGAAUUAUUUACAUAUUUCAAUAUUUUUAAAAAUUAGAAUCAAGAAUGGCCUUUAUUUAGCAGAAUUGCUCUCAGCUUACCAGGGAAUUCAACACCUGUAUAGAGGGUAUUUUUCUCAAUUAAAUAUAUUGUGGUCUACAGAGAAGUCAAUUGAAGAGCAGCAAUUUCAAAUUUAUUAAAGCUGAAAUGCAGACAAUUUUGUGGAAAAAGUGAAAAUAAUAAAACAAUUGAAAACUACACUCUGUAGAAGAAUAGCAUGACAGAUAGGCUAAGAAACUGAUUAGGGGCUGGCCCUGUG